rnacentral:rRNA from 1 species
CUGACGAACGCUGGCGGCGUGCCUAAUACAUGCAAGUCGAGCGGAACACUUGGAGCUUGCUCCAAGCGUUUAGCGGCGGACGGGUGAGUAACACGUGGGCAACCUGCCCUGCAGAUCGGGAUAACUCCGGGAAACCGGUGCUAAUACCGAAUAGUUUGCGGCCUCUCCUGAGGCUGCACGGAAAGACGGUUUCGGCUGUCACUGCAGGAUGGGCCCGCGGCGCAUUAGCUAGUUGGUGGGGUAAUGGCCUACCAAGGCGACGAUGCGUAGCCGACCUGAGAGGGUGAUCGGCCACACUGGGACUGAGACACGGCCCAGACUCCUACGGGAGGCAGCAGUAGGGAAUCUUCCGCAAUGGACGAAAGUCUGACGGAGCAACGCCGCGUGAGUGACGAAGGUUUUCGGAUCGUAAAACUCUGUUGUGAGGGAAGAACAAGUGCCAACUAACUACUGGCACCUUGACGGUACCUCACCAGAAAGCCACGGCUAACUACGUGCCAGCAGCCGCGGUAAUACGUAGGUGGCAAGCGUUGUCCGGAAUUAUUGGGCGUAAAGCGCGCGCAGGCGGUCCUUUAAGUCUGAUGUGAAAGCCCACGGCUCAACCGUGGAGGGUCAUUGGAAACUGGAGGACUUGAGUGCAGAAGAGGAAAGUGGAAUUCC